UGGAAACAAGAAGAUCAGUUGGAAGGAGAUUAUAUCCAGGUCAGAGAUGAUGGCUUGACCUACAAGUGAAGAUGAAAGAAGGAAGAGCACCACCAUGUGACAAAGCCCUGGAUGUCUGCUGUUUGAUAGCCUACAUGUGGCCCAGUCACUUCUGUCAUCACCCACUAUUGCCAGCCAAUCCAAGCAGCAGAGCCUUCCAACUGACUGGCAGGUGACUGUAUUCACUUUCUGAGUCUGGAAUUCUGGAACAGACUGAGUGGAUGGUUCUGGCUCAGGUCCUCUCAUAACGUUAUGUAGACCAAGACUUCAGUCAUCUCAAGACUCAACCAAGGCUGAAGAAUCAGCAUCUAAGUUCACUCAAGUUCUUAUUGAGACCUUUUGGACCAACUGCAUGUCCUUCAUAAUUUUGUAGAACGCGGAAGGAGGACAUCUAAUAUAAUUUUCUGUUGACAUCUCUGUCCAAUACUUAGAGAUGAAGAAAAUGAGCAUUUGAAAGAACACGAAGCAUUUCAAAAUCUACAUGGUGGUUAAAAGAAAAGAUGGGUCCUUCAACAUUAUUGGAGAAUUCACUGAAGUAAGACAUGACAGUGCUGGGAGAAUUAAGACACAUGCACAUCUGCUACUCAUGAUUCUUAACUGUUCAGGAAGGCAAGAGAAGUGUCUUCUUUGCGUUUCAAACCUCACCUUUAAUAAAACCUGAGAAAAUCUAUGGAUAUCCAAUAACGACAAGAGAAAGAGAAAGAGAUGAGGAAAAGGAAGAAAAAAGAGAGACUGAGCACAAGCAGGGGCAGGGGAGAGAGACACAGAAUCUGAAGCAGUCUCCAGGCUCUGAGCUGUCAACACAGAACCCGUCACCGGGCUCAAACUCACGGACUGUGACAUCAUGACCUGAGCCGAAGUCAGAUGCUUAACUGACUGAGCCACGCCGGCACCCCAUAAACUGCUCACAAAUUUUUAAAACUCAUCUAUCCUUUAAAGGAUACUGCAUCAGAAAACAUCAAAAGAAGUAAUUACGGUGCACACACCAGUGAAUGCUGCUGGUACUCUGCCCAGAUCCCCUUGCCCAGCAGCAGGCACAGGGCCAAGCUGGACCAAUCGACCCUUCCUCACAGAUGCUGUGAAGAAAGACUCAUGGGGCAAAACUGGAGGCAUCUGAAGAGCGUCUCUUGGGGCCAAGACCCACAUGUCCCGGCAAGUUCCUAUUCCUCUUCUCUAUUCUCAGUUUCUGUGAUUAAUACCAUCUUCCCAAUAAAAUAUAUUUUCAUGUUAAUAUGAGUCAAAAUCCUAGUGGAUUUUAAUCUUGUUUAUAGGGAAAGAAAUUUUAUGUACUAUUUAUGUACCAUUUACCAGCUGUGUGACCAUGAAGAAGUUAUUUUCUUUCUCUAUGCCUCAAUUUUUCAGCUAUAAAGUGAGAAUAAUAAUAAUAAUAAUAAUAACUGACUCAUAAUGUUGCAGUAUGACAGUCCUUAUAAAGUACUUCAAAAAUUCUGGACUCAGUAAGAACCACAUGAUUUUUAUCUUUGUUAUCAUUAUUAUAUGAAUAAUACAUAAUGUUCUAUGGAUUUUGAGAUUGGCCUUUUAGCUUGCUUACCAAUUGAAGUAUUUUUGGGACUAAUUCUCUUUGAGUUUCUAAGUAGAAAAGUAUAUUGUCUAUAAGUAGUAGAUUAUAAUUCCCUUCUUUUUUUUUUACAUGUUCUUACAUUUUAUUUCUCUUAAUGUAUACUUUGUGAAUUUUAAAAUUCAUAACUUUUAUGGAUUCUUAAAAUUACUUUCCUUUUGUUCUUUGUGAAAUAGAAUUUUAAAGUCCAAAAUUUCAAGUUUUCGUUAAACUCUUUAAACUUUAAAAUUUUGAUUACCAUUCUUUAUUGAUUAUUGCUUCUUUCCCAUAUACUCCGACUACCCCUUCAGCCCUCCAGCUCUCCCUGGAAAUCAUAUUUAAUGCAUAGCCAUCUCUCACUGUGCCCCUCGGAUCUGUUUUUAUUUGUUUGUUUCUUUGUUUAAUUUAUAUCCAUUUCGUCUCUGCUCUAAAUUUCCUUAAUUUAUCUUCAGAUCUGAUGAGCUUUGUGUAGUGUGCACUUGAAUCCUCCAUUACGAUUUUAUUUUGAAAACAGUAUUGUUAUCUUACUGCUUUCUUUUUGAUAGGUCAUUGAAUUCCAUGAUUCUUUUUGAUAGGUGGUUUGUAUCCCAUGAUUGUUUCAUUUCCGUGUAUGUGAUGUUUUCUAAGAGUCAGUGGAGAGUCAGAACAUUCACCACUGGUCAGUGGUAAUGAGGCUGCACCCCUAAUGGUGUCAAUGGAGGCCAUGUGGGGAGCAGUAAUAGGGGACUCCAUACCUGUCAACCUGGAUAAUGCAGUAGUAGCCCUGUGGGAAGCCAGAACUCUUGCCUCCCUCUAGUACCAGGAGGGAGAACCUUCCCAUCCCUAGUGUCAACAAUUAUCAAUGGGGAACUUGCAUUGUACCCAACCUGGAUGUAAUAAGGUGGCACUCUCUUCCUGGCCUUCUCUUCAAGAAUACAGAGAAUACCAAAUAAAAUGUUUAAAUAAAAUGAAGAGGCUAAUUAUACAUUACCAAAAAUAUCUAGGUUUUAAUAAAAAAAUCACUUGUCAUACCAAAAAUCAAAAAGAUCUCAGAGGAAGAUAAUAAACAACUACUAACAUCAGGAAACAAGACAUAUCACAAUAGUCUCUGCAGACCUCAAAAGGGAAAUGAGGCAAUACUGUGAACAAUUCUACAUGUAUAAAUUGGACAACGUGGAUGAAACAGGUCAUUUCUUGAAAGCACAACCAAAACUCACCCUACAGAAAAUAGAUGAUUUGAAUAGAUCCACAGCUAGUAUAGAAAUUGAAUUCAUAGGGGCGCCUGGGUGGCUCAGUCGGUUGAGCGUCUGACUUCAGCUCAGGUCAUGAUCUCAU